GCAAUGGAUAUGCAGUUGAUUUUGAUUCGUGGAAAAGAAGACUCUACAACUCGAAUAGAGUUUAAAGCAGGGAUGUUUACUCCGGCCGGGGUGCAAGGGAAUUUCUCCACAAAGCCUGCACACCCACCGCACAUUUUACCAAAACUUACAGAGUGUAGAUAUCCAUAUUCACUGGGUUACAUAACACAAACAUACG